UGAGUAGCAUGGGGCAGAGUUAGGUCCUCAUUUUUAAUGGUCUCAUAUAAGAUUUCUGAACUACAGAGGACAUUACUAUAUCUGGGUAGGAGGAAAUAAAUCUUUAAAUUUGAAAUAAUAAUAUACAAUUUUAAAUAUCAUUUUCCAAAUUUAAUUUCAUUUUCACCUUUAAUAUUUCCUAAGGAUUCAAGAAUCAGAUGCAGGGAUUCUGUUUCUCUCCAUUUUUAUUGUUAUUGUUGUUGUUGUUUUACAUUUAGGAUUUCAAUGUGGAAUCUCAGAUUUCUUUUGUGAACUCCUUUACUGUCAGACAAUUAACCAGAAAUACCAAAUAAAUGAAGAUGGGAAAACA
rnacentral:lncRNA from 10 species